UAUUGGACAAUGGGCGCAAGCCUGAUCCAGCCAUGCCGCGUGAGUGAUGAAGGCCUUAGGGUUGUAAAGCUCUUUUGUCCGGGAAGAUAAUGACUGUACCGGAAGAAUAAGCCCCGGCUAACUUCGUGCCAGCAGCCGCGGUAAUACGAAGGGGGCUAGCGUUGCUCGGAAUCACUGGGCGUAAAGGGCGCGUAGGCGGACUCUUAAGUCGGGGGUGAAAGCCCAGGGCUCAACCCUGGAAUUGCCCUCGAUACUGAGAGUCUUGAGUUCGGAAGAGGUUGGUGGAACUGCGAGUGUAGAGGUGAAAUUCGUAGAUAUUCGCAAGAACACCAGUGGCGAAGGCGGCCAACUGGUCCGAUACUGACGCUGAGGCGCGAAAGCGUGGGGAGCAAACAGG
rnacentral:rRNA from 1 species